AUUAUGGCUGAUCUGCCUUGUUAUAUGGCAGAAACCAACAUUUUUUCCCCCAAUUAAAAAAAAAUUUUUUUUAAUAUAAAGCUCCAUAUCAUUGGCCAGUUGGAGGGGUAUCCAUUUUAUAAAUUGAGUGGAAGAUCUUUUGACUCAGUGGAGACCUAGAGCAGAGACCUGUGGCACUCCACUAGUGAUUGUCUGCGAGGCUACCAGCGUCUAACACUCUGGGGCACUUCAGUAAACACAAACAACUCACCUUGCAACGCAAGUUUCAGUGAUGUGGAUGAAAGGAUGUGUGGUGUGAUGCCAUCAGGUGUGUGAUGUGAUCUUAUAGACAGGUAGGGGGUGUAGCAAUAAUUUAGACACUCAGCCAGACUUCUGAUGGGAGAUGGGUAGCCACCCUCUUUCUCUCCUGUUCUAUUCUUUCUUUCCCCCAUCCUCAGGCAUGAGAAGCUUUUGGGAAGGCUAGCUAACUCUUGGGUAGCUGUUAAUUAGAUACUGGGGCUUCCCGGUGGCGCUCGUGGUAAAGAAUCCACCUGCCAAAGCAGGAGAUGCAAGAGAUGCAGGGAUUGAACCAUGUGUCUCUUGCAUUGGCAGGCAGAUUCUUUACCACUGAGUCACCAGAGAAGCCCCUGAGAUGACCAUAUAGAAUGUCUCUUUUAAUCUACAAAUGCAGGAAAUAGGGAAUAGGGUUUCCAGCUUUAAUUUAUUUGAAGAAGCUUCAAAAAUAAAACUGUAGUAAAAAGCAUUCAGUGGAAAGCACAUUCCCACCAUGGUCUCUGAUCCGGUUCCCUCUGACGCCCCCUCCAUCACCCUAUUCUUAGUUUCUUAUGUAUCUGCCAAGACUUUCUUUAUGCAAAUAUCAGCGCGUAGUUGAAUGAGUCUUUUUCUUUUCUUUCCUAUUUUCCGCAAAAACUAUCACAGUCAUUUUUGACAGUGAAACCACUUUGUGUGUGGAGGGGAUCGGCUUGUGGGCGCCAAGUUCAGUGGUCCCGAGGUUAGGGUGCUCAGAUCUCAGGGUCCAAGGGCGACUGGCCCAGCGUCCCUUUCUCCUGGUGUCCUGCCAGGAGGGCCGUGGGCUUGUCCAGGCGUCCAGGUGACAGACAGACAGGCCCUCACAGUCUAGGAGUCAUGUGUACAUGGGCCCCGGUCCCCAGUGAAGCCCCAAGAGGCCGAGGGGUGAGUCGCCAUCAUCCGGAGCAGGCGGUUCUAAGACACAUUCCCAGGGCUGCAUCUGCACCCCCAAGGUGAUGGUUCGGAAAGCGGCUGAGGGCCAGGAAGGAGAGACUCGACUCUGACAGGCGGUGCUUCCUGAGGGUCACAGGCCCCCAAAGUAAAUUUGACACCAAGUUGUAUUUACAAAGCAGACAGAUGAGGAAAUGGAG
ensembl:lncRNA